AUAUAUAUAUAUAUAUCUGACGUGUUUCUAUUAUAGGUAUUUGGAGUUUCGUUUCUAGAUCGUCUGGCUAAUGUAGGAAAAAAUUCCAACAAUUAUUCAUGAGAAGAAGGUUUAAAUUUAUGGUAAACUACUUUACAUGGAGAAUAGCCUGUGUUAUGUGCCAUUUAGAAGAAACGAUCCGCUAUAAAGAAAUGACUCCGGAAAGAGGCGAAGCUAGCUGGGAAGAAUGGUGGACUUAUGACGGAAUAUCUGGACCAGAUUUUUGGGGUCUUCUUAAUCCCGAGUGGCAUCUAUGCAGUAGAGGUCGACGACAAUCUCCGGUCGAUCUCGACCCCACCUUACUCCUUUACGAUCCUUAUCUGAGGAAACUACAAAUAGAUAAACAAAGAGUGAACGGAGUGAUAUGGAACACGGGUCACAGCGUGGUGUUCCGAGCAGAAACGGGUCCGUACGUUCCGGUGGCAAAUAUAUCAGGCGGGCCCAUGUCUUACAAUUAUCAAUUCGAACAAAUCCACCUGCACUACGGAAGACUGGAUAGCUUUGGAUCGGAGCACACACUAAUGGGACGAGCUUUCCCGGCAGAGGUUCAAAUCUACGGCUAUAACUCCGAUCUAUAUUCUAACAUGUCCGAAGCCUUUCAUAGAUCUCAAGGAAUCGUCGGUAUCGCGCUUUUAAUUCAGAUCGGAGAAACAUCUAACUUAGAACUACGCCUUCUGACUAGUCAAUUACAUCAAAUUAUUUACAAAGGUCAGCAAGCGGAGCUGAAGUCCCUAUCCAUCAAGGAACUUCUACCCGACACCGAAUAUUACAUGACUUACGAAGGCUCCACUACAAUGCCGGGAUGUUACGAAACCGUCACUUGGAUUAUCAUGAACAAACCUCUGUACAUAACUAGGCAACAAUUUUACGCUCUUCGAAAGUUGAUGCAGGGAGACCCCGAAAAUUCUAAGGCGCCGUUAGGUAACAAUUACCGACCGACGCAGCCCUUUCACCAUCGCGUCGUUCGCACAAAUAUUGAUUUCUCCAGAAAAUUGGGUCAUCAAUGCCCCACUAUGAGGAAUAACAUAUUCUAUCAAGUAAACAAGAGGAACUGAAGAUUAUGAGGAAAGUAGUCGAGUGCAAUCUCACAAAGACGAAUUGCCAGGCUUAGUUCAAUUCUGUACGGACUUCAUACAAGCUAGGCCUAGACUGAUAAAGUCCAUUUUGCUACGCCAAAUAAGCAGGACCUCUUCAGCACUCCCAAAUAACCAACUAACCGGCUCAUCCUUACGAUUCGAUGUGACAUUCUCGGAAAAAGUAAACGUGUCCACGAGUCGAGAUUUUUUCCUAAGCGACAUAUAUUGGUCUGAUUGAGAAAGACAGUUUGUCGUUUAACGUGGAUGUAAAAUAUCUAGAAAUAGACGGGUAAUUGGAACCGAGGUGCAGUAAAAGUGGUAAAGUGCCUGCAUAUGAAAAUAGACAAUGGUGUCUUCGUCGGCUCCCACUCGUACGAGAAUUCUUGCUAUUCUGAAAUUCUCGCAAAUAAACAAAAAUAGGUUUCGUUGAUUCGUGCCAAGGACAUGUUUGCCAUGUAUGUUAAAUUUAUUACAAUAUGUUUAUUUAGCAUAUCUGAAGACACUCUAGGUCCUAUUCAAUUGUUGCACGUCUUUAUUUAAUCAUCGAUUCUUCUUUAGUUCUGUAAUUUUUUUUAUAUAUAUUAUGUGAAGAACGUAUAAAAACAUCUUAUGUGAAAAGAAAAAUAUUAUUAUUCUUACAUCCAACAUUAAAAUCUGAAUACGUUCGGAUUUUGCACGAAAGGUGAACAAAUAAUUUAAUGAAAGUGUUAUAGAAAGAGACGUCUUUGUACAUUUAUGCAAUACUGCGAAUGAUGAGGACUGCCUGUUGUGGAGAAUAGUUUUUUGUAGAAAGUCCACGAAUAAUUAGAUAUAAACAUAUAUAGUUCUUCGGAGAUGCACCUAAUCAAACCUGUGCGCGGGAUCCGCUGAAGAGUGCCCUGUUAACUAACUAACUGAACAAGUCUUUCUUUUUUGGAUUUGAAAAUCUUGGUCUUCCUCUGAUAUUUUCAUUUACCAGAUAUCCUAAUCCAGUAGUUUCGACGCAUUUUAAAGUCAAUGGACAUAUCUGGUGCUCCCGUCGCUGUCCUUUGACCAACCUUGCCUUUAACAAAGGAAUCUUUGCACUAAAGCCAAGUUAGUUCACGAAAUGAUGCAACUGGAGAAACAGAUCUGUACACCUGUUUUGCCAUUUAUUCGUGCUUAAUACUUUUAAUUGUCCAAGAAAUAAAUUGUGUAAAUAACUGUAUGCAACAACUAAAAAUUUUAUAAUAAAAAAACUG
rnacentral:misc_RNA from 1 species